ACGACUUUUGGUUGCAGGUUUCCGACACUUGGACAUCUGGCACACGACGCCAGGACAUCUUCCCAUCGACUUCAGGACUAGUGGUUCCCGACAUUUGGACACAACAACAAAAUGUUGCUGAACCCAAUUAGCAGAAUACUCGACCAGUACUCAGCGACGAAAAGACUUCCAGUUAAACGACGAGUGGACUCCCAGGCAAUCGACGUUCGAACUCCCGGGUAAUAGACGUUUGGAAUCUUUUUGUUUUUGUUUUCUUUUUUUUCGAGUGUUCUUUACGACAUAGGAACUCCUCAUCCAGCGACAAAAGGACUCCCAAUCCAGUGACGCACGGAUUUGCUUAUUUGUUGCAGCUAAAGGAUCGUUAAGAACAUAGUCAGACUUCUUUCCCUUCUUCCAUUCUGAAAUGGAACGAACAUGGGUAACCAUGUUUGGAACGAACAUGGGUAACCAUGUUUGUUCCAGUCAGACUUCUUUCCCUUCUUGUAUUCUACACCAAAUUGUACUAUACACGUGAGUGGCGAUAUGCACGUAAUGCUACAGUUCACCGCAAAGCCAAAGCAGAAUGUCACAGACCUACAAAAGCCAAAAUGAAAGAAGUUUUCUGCAACCAAAAUCCAUUUGUACCCACAGUUGCAGGUCCACAGCAGCACAGGCAGUCAGACACACUGUACACAAACAGUUUGUAGUUCAAAUUUUAAUGUAUUAAACAACAUAAAUACAAAAUUCUUCGUUCA